rnacentral:rRNA from 1 species
CCUACGGGUGGCAGCAGUGGGGAAUAUUGGACAAUGGGGGGAACCCUGAUCCAGCCAUGCCGCGUGUGUGAAGAAGGCCCUCGGGUUGUAAAGCACUUUCAGUGAGGAAGAACGCCUGGUGGUUAAUACCCAUCAGGAAAGACAUCACUCACAGAAGAAGCACCGGCUAACUCCGUGCCAGCAGCCGCGGUAAUACGGAGGGUGCGAGCGUUAAUCGGAAUUACUGGGCGUAAAGCGCGCGUAGGUGGCUUGAUAAGCCGGUUGUGAAAGCCCCGGGCUCAACCUGGGAACGGCAUCCGGAGCUGUCAAGCUAGAGGGCAGGAGAGGAAGGGAGAAUCCCCGGGGUAGCGGUGACAUGCGUAGAGACCGGGAGGAAUAGCAGCGGCGAAGGCGGCCGCCUGGACGGACACAGACACUGAUGUGCGAAAGCUUGGGUAGCAAACAGGAUCAGAGACACCUGUAGGC